CCAUGCUGAGCAUCCCUGGGCUGAGGGCACAUUUCCUUCUGGGGGAUCAUCUGGGCCUGGACCUGAAGAGGCACAAAGGGAUAUUUUGUGGUGCCUGAUGAGGGUUCCAGGAGUCCCGGAUGUUUUAAAUGAAUUAGCUUUUUUUGAUUAAUACGGAGAAUUUAUUCCAUAAUUAAAAUUCAGUCGUAGAAAAUCUAGAAGCAAAUAUCAGAUUGGCCCUGAACCAGGCUGACAGCGUCAGGUGAGACAGGUGGGGCAUUUCUCUCCCCUGUGCAUCACGAAGGGACAGCUCUCUCAAAGUCUUUUUUGUCCAUUUCCAAGCUCCAGGCGGUGUGGAGGGCAGGAGUUUUUCUGCUUUCUUAUGGUUGUUUUUAUCCUUUUUGCAUAUUCAUGUAUUUUUUCCUUUCUUGCUGCAGCUCUUGCUGAGAGUUUCCCCAAAACUGGUAAAAAAUUCACUUUGUUAGAGGAAAAUCUCCUGGAAUAUGCAUUCUAGGAGGCACACAUUUGUCUUAUAGUUGAUGCAAAUCGAAUGCACAUUGCUGAGGUUUGGUCAGAGAAAUAAUCUUCUGGAAUCAGCAUUUCUGGGGACGAAUAUUCAGGCUAGGAUUUUGGUGCAUGUUGAUUGCCCGGAACCCUCUUUUGGUCUUCUGUCCUGCCUUUCUUUGCUGCUGAACCUGCUGGUGAAGGUGGUGCAGCUUCCCAAGCCACGUCCAGGACUGAGGCUCUGGGAGAUGCUGAGGGUGUGUCUGCAGGGAGGACUUCUCCAGCUCCUUUGCUGAUUCCUACACAGAAGCCUGGCAACCAUCGCAGAGGU